CACGGAGGGAGCUAGCGUUGUUCGGAAUUACUGGGCGUAAAGCGUGCGCAGGCGGUUUUGUAAGUCUGUCGUGAAAGCCCCGGGCUUAACCUGGGAAUUGCGAUGGAGACUGCAAGGCUUGAAUCUGGCAGAGGGGGGUAGAAUUCCACGUGUAGCAGUGAAAUGCGUAGAGAUGUGGAGGAACACCGAUGGCGAAGGCAGCCCCCUGGGUCAAGAUUGACGCUCAUGCACGAAAGCGUGGGGAGCAAACAGG
rnacentral:rRNA from 1 species